GGUAUUCUACUCUUUUUUAUACACUCGUCUUAUCGACUGACAGAUCAAGUAGGAAUAAAAUAGUAAAUACACGUUGCGAUUACAGCGCCUAAAACAGGAACUAGCGGCCAACGACGCAAUCACCAACGACAGACAGAUCAUAUCUUUCAGCCAUUUUCAAUGACAUGGACUUUUCACUUCUCGGUAUAUACAAGUCUAAAAACGGAUUUGUGGAAGUAAAGGAACCAUGUUCCCAGUUCGACAGCAGGAUCGAUGGAGCGUAUUUUCCCCGGUCGACCCGGAAAAACGAACACAAGAAGAAGCGCGUACGAAGCAUGCAUGAAUGAACGAUUGGGGAUGAUUGAAUUCUUUCUCUUUUCCUUCUUUUAGUUUCCAGCGGAGCGAGGGAGGUGAAAAUUAUUCCAUUCGUGUCGUACCAAAAGUUGAGCAACUCUACUAUAUAAAAAAACUCUCGGAAAUAAAAGUUAUAUCAGGCAGAUCUCGAUUCGUCACCAUUUAUGGGUAACAUGGACAUGGGGUCCGACAUGGCAUCACGCUCAUAUCUUUUUGGGUUAACAACUUCUUGCCCGCCGACUGUCUCUAGCUCUCCCUUUUUUCCCUACCAACAUUUCGCUUCUGGCUCACCCUUCACAAACGAAGAGGAUAGAAAACAAGCAACUCAAGUGACAGCCACGGUGGAGGCUCAGUUACUCAUCCCUAAUGUAAUGUGCACAGACACAAAAAAAAACUGGGUAAAUCAAAACAUGUAACAUAUAAAUCACGCGCACAAACAGAGAGAGAAAAA